GACGUAGGGCGCGAGCGUUGUCCGGAUUUAUUGGGCGUAAAGAGCUCGUAGGCGGCUUGUCGCGUCGACCGUGAAAACUCGCAGCUCAACUGCGAGCCUGCGGUCGAUACGGGCAGGCUAGAGUUCGGUAGGGGAGACUGGAAUUCCUGGUGUAGCGGUGAAAUGCGCAGAUAUCAGGAGGAACACCGGUGGCGAAGGCGGGUCUCUGGGCCGAUACUGACGCUGAGGUGCGAAAGCGUGGGGAGCAAACAGG
rnacentral:rRNA from 1 species